AUGCUUUUGUAGUUCAUGAGCAUGAAGAUGAGGUGUUCACGCACGUGUGUGAGAUGUGCCUCUCUCAAACCUUGUUAUGACGUCACACAUUACCCAUCUGACG